CAAGGCCGACUAUCCUCAGUCCUCUCCCAUUUCACUCUCUCAUCAUCGCUCUUGUCUCUCUCUCUCUCUUUCUCUCACUCCAUCGCAGGCGACCCUCCUACCAGCCACCGUACACCACUGUCGCACACGAGCACCCACCUCCUCACCGGCGACGGGACAACCCACCUCCCCACCAGCGACGGACAACAGUAACUACUUUGAUUUGUGCCUCCUCCAGCUCACACCAGAGGGCUGGAGCUUCUCUUCUAUCUAUUUCUCACAAGAGCAACGUUUUUUCUCUCUAUUCCACGUUCGCAGCAACCAUUGGAGCACACCCUGAUGAUUUUGUUGCGUAGACUUUCAGAGUAAUAUUUUGGUGUAUGGAGAAGAAAUUGUACUUUUGUAUAGAAGCAAUAUAAUACUUUUGUCAUCCCCAGCUUUUGCGCAGUUAACUAUUCUUGAUACAGAAAACUUUUGGCAGCCAAUAGAUAAUUACUGGCAUGGUACAUAAAUCACCUUUUGUCGCCGUACAUAUAUAUGAUUUUUUGUCGUGAUACAUAGAUGUACUUUUGUCUUGGUACAUACAUCACCUUUUGUCGUUGUACAGAUUAUGAUGGUAAUUUGUACCAUACCAAAUGGUUAUUUCACAUGGUA